UACGUAGGGGGCAAGCGUUGUCCGGAUUUAUUGGGCGUAAAGAGCGUGUAGGCGGCCUGACAGGUCUGCUGUGAAAACUCGAGGCUCAACCUCGAGACGUCGGUUGAAACCGUAUGGCUAGAGUCCGGAAGAGGAGAGUGGAAUUCCCGGUGUAGCGGUGAAAUGCGCAGAUAUCGGGAAGAACACCCGUGGCGAAGGCGGCUCUCUGGGACGGUACUGACGCUGAGACGCGAAAGCGUGGGGAGCGAACAGG
rnacentral:rRNA from 1 species